CUCUUGUGGAACAAUGAGAAAUCAGAGAAAGAACAAGAGGUCAUCUGCAGCCAAACCUGGUCAAAGAACAGAAAAAAAUAUUUGAAGAAAAGAAGAAAAGAUCUAACCUUCAUUAUACAGGUGCAAACAGGAUUGCACAGAUUGCCUUUUGUGAUAAAAAGAGGAAGAAAAAUGGCAGCAACCCAGAUUAUUAUUAUACUUAAAUGGUCUCUCACACUUUAUGAAGAUCUUUGUGUAAAAGUAUUAAGCAGUCCAUUUAACAGAGAAGUAUGUUUGUUUCACAUGUAUCAGAAAAUGUGAGUCUUAAUUAAAAUAGAUCCUGACGUCAAAAAAAAAAAAA
rnacentral:lncRNA from 1 species